CAGCCGCCGCGGUAAUACGGAGGGUGCAAGCGUUAAUCGGAAUUACUGGGCGUAAAGCGUGCGUAGGUGGUGGUUUAAGUCCGUUGUGAAAGCCCUGGGCUCAACCUGGGAAUUGCAGUGGAUACUGGGUCACUAGAGUGUGGUAGAGGAUAGUGGAAUUUCCGGUGUAGCAGUGAAAUGCGUAGAGAUCGGAAGGAACAUCUGUGGCGAAGGCGACUAUCUGGGCCAACACUGACACUGAGGCACGAAAGCGUGGGGAGCAAACAGGAUUAGAUACCCGUGUAGUCCCUGUCUCUUAUAC
rnacentral:rRNA from 1 species